CCCUCCUACAGGUGUUGUUAAUGUAUCCUUCAGGUGUGUAAAAUGUCCUCCUUCAGGUGUGUAACAAAACAUAUCCCUCCUACAGGUGUUGUUAAUGUAUCCUUCAGGUGUGUAACAAAACAUAUCCCUCCUACAGGUGUGUAAAAUGUCCUCCUCCAGGUGUGUAACAAAACAUAUCCCUCCUACAGGUGUGUAAAAUGUCCUCCUACAGGUGUGUAA